AAGUAAAUAACAAUUCCUGGCACACAAGGAGAGCCUGAAGUUGCACAGAUGGCUACGUUUGAGCCCACAAGCACAUGGAAAUAAUAUCAAAGUCUUCAGUUUGUUUUAUGUGUUAGUAGAUUAGAAAACAUUCAAACUACAUUUGGAGGAAGAACAGACACAACAUGAAGCACAACAUGAAUCAGUUAUAAAGUUGCAUUUUGGAACAUCUUUUGGGACGCCAACAGGAAAAGCAGCUCCCAAGACAGUGUGUCUUGGAUGACAUUGCCAUAUUCCUUUCCAAUAGCAGCAAGCCAGCCUCAGCAACACUGCCAGAUGUGCCCACAGGGAUAUGGGCUGAGAUUUGAACCAGCUGCAGAGCAAGGAGCAUCUCUGGUUGCUCCACACCUGCCUUCCUGAGGAUCCUGAGGAUCUCAGGUGUUAGAAGGACCAUAGCAGUGGAACAACUGACAUCUUGCUACCUCAAAAUCAGCUUUUUGGACACAACUGGAGUGGAAGCCAAGAAAACUCUUCAUGAAAUAGUUAUCUGUGAAGAUGCAGACAAAUAGCUCCUAGCAGGGAUGAAUUGCUAUUAGGCAGCAAAACAGGAGUUUUACAAUUCAUGAAUAUUUCCUUUGCAUUUUUUUCUUUAGGAGGUACCCAAGGCAGCCUAACAACCACUUCAGAAGGAAAAAAUAAAAAUGGCUAAUUCUAGAAGUUGAGGUUUUUAUACACACUGAGAGAGAAAUUCUGGCAUGUUAAAGGCAUGCAUUACUGUGCUGUACUGGGAGAAGAGCUGGGUGCAUGCUGGAUGGAUUGUGCAUAAAGGUUGAGGCUGUUUAACUGAAAUUAAUAAUGCAUAUAGAAAAAAUGACUGGAAA